rnacentral:piRNA from 1 species
CCAACUUCCUGCUCUAUGCCCCGCCC